CGUGACUCUCAAGCUCCCGUCUGCGGAGAGGAAAACAUGGCGGAGAUUCCUUGUUUUUUCAGAUAAAAAUAUAAUUUUAUAACUUAGUUUGGGCAUAAAAAUACAUUCUGACACCAUUUCUAGCGAGAAAUGUGCUCUUUGCUUCCACAGUCUUCAGCCAGUUCGUGCUUAUGAUAAAUAUUUUAAUAGUUAUCACGCAUGUUUUUAUCGUUGCUAUGACGGUUGCCAUGCCACCACGGCGCAGCGUGGUGUUUAAAUCACAGUCCCUGCGUGGUGUCCUUCAGUGAUCGUGAAUGUUAUUCAUGUUAUAUAAUAGUAAUAUUUGAGGCUAGAUUACAUCUCUAAUGAGAAGGAACCUGCGAGUCUGUUCAUACCGAGGCCGGCCCGAGUGCGCGACCGGACCGAGUGCGCGAGCGGACAUUACGUGUGGCUGUCGUAAAAACCCUAUUUGUAAACAACCAGUCCUUUAACUCAGCGCUACGUCAUAAACACGGCGCGCUUGGAAGACCACGAUGUCAUCUUCCUUCUGUCAGGAGGAUCAAAGUGAAGCUACAGGAGUUUCAUUAACGUCAAUAACUUGGACCGAACGGUUUGUUUUGCUUGAUGAAGAGCAGGAAGGGCAGCCUGGAGAGAAAGAGAAGCCGGGUUGAGCCCACUACCAUCAUCCACGUACCACGAGGAAGAUGAGGGAGAGAAAUGAUCCUACCAUUAAAGAGACUGUGAAAAGAACGUUGAGAACAUCACCACUCUACAGGAAGACACAGUCCAGUAAUGGGUGUCAGUAGUUCAGUAGUGAACGACAGGCAGUACUGAUGCAUUUACUGAGAGGGGACGUGAGGGCCUACUCUGCGUGCUCAGAGUUCAAACCCAGCAGGCUGCAGCGGGCCUGACAUAUUCUGGAACAGAGCAGCACAGUCUUUGGAUGACUCCUCUGAAGAUGAAAACAUGGCGAGUUCUUCUCAAGAGAAGCAGUACAGGUGUGCCUCAGCUCCACGGUCCCUCCUGCAACCUCCGCUCCUGAUGCUAACCUCAUGUCUCCAUCCCACCAAGCAGCAGACCUGGAUUGACAGACCUUCUCCAGAGCUGCCCCCUCCCUCUGAAACCCCCCUCUCCAAAACACUAUUUGUGUAGUUUUUAAAGUAUUUUUUGCAUGAGAAUUGUUGAUCAUAACAUUUCCAGCAGAUGCCUUAAUGUAAUGUUU